CCUACGGGAGGCAGCAGUGAGGAAUAUUGGUCAAUGGGCGCGAGCCUGAACCAGCCAAGUCGCGUGAGGGAGGACGGCCCUACGGGGUGUAAACCUCUUUUGCCGGGGAGCAACGGGCGCCACGUGUGGCGUCACUGAGAGUACCCGGAGAAAAAGCAGCGGCGAACUCCGUGCCAGCAGCCGCGGUAAUACGGAGGAUGCGAGCGAUAGCCGGAUUUAGUGGGUUGAAAGGGUGCGUAGGCGGAUCGUGAAGUCAGUGGUCAAAUUGAGGGGCUCAACCCCUUCCCGCCAUUGAAACUGGCGUUCUUGAGUGGAAGUGCAGUAUGCGGCAUGCGUGGUGUAGCGGUGAACUGCAUAGAUAUCACGCAGAACCCCGAUUGCGAAGGCAGCAUGCCGGCUUCCGACUGCCGCUGACGCACGAAAGCGUGGGGAUCGAACCGGAUUAGAUACCCUUGUAGUC
rnacentral:rRNA from 1 species